UAGCCCAACAACGAAGCAUGGGCUGGACCGUGCAUAAUCUUCAAUUGAUUGUCAACUCAGAUAAGUUUAGAUGUGAUCUCGACGUUGAAGGACGGAGCUGAAUUUGUUUCAGUGGACGCAGUGAUCUUUGAUGACUGUUAUCCUACCAGAUUCGUAUUUUCACAUGAAAUUUGUUUCCUUGCAGGUUCAACUGUGGAUUUUCCUUUGGAUUCUGACUCAAGUUCCCUUUUAUCUAUCAUGUCUUCUCAAGUUUUUGUGCUCUCCACGGAUUGGAUCUUGAAUCUUCUCAUGUACAGUUUUUGGGUGCCUCAUGGAGAACUGGUAAAAGCACACCAACUAUGCCCAUAAUCCACGAUCUCCUCCUCUCGAUUAUCUCUCUCCCCCCAAUGGAAAACAAAAGGGUCGUCCCUCUCUAACAGAAGGCAUAUGGAUUCCGUGUACUCAAGGAGCUUUUUGCAUCAAAAUAGUUUUCCUCGCCUAUACCAUUUUCGUAUUUUCUCACACUACUUAUUCUGAUUUGUAUUGUUGCAGGUCUACAAUUGGAUCAACCAUGGCUUUUUAAUUGGAUUCGGAUUCAAUUUUUUCUCUACCGCGUCCUCUCAUAGUUUUGUGCUCUCUACGGAUUGGAUCCUUUGUAUUGUCACGCGUACAAUUCUGGGAUGACUCAUGGAGAUCAGGUAGGAGCACGCCAACUUUACCCAUCUGCUUGAUGACUCAUGGAGAUCAGGUAGGAUCGCACCAACUAUCCCCAUCUGCUCAAGAUUCUCCCACUUUGUGCCAAGCUUGCCUCUGGUCUGUUUGCUGUCAUUGUUCCAUUUGUUAGAUCAUACAUGUUGCUUACAUAGUGCAGAUUCAACGACUGAUCAUUGGGUCUACUCUCUUUUUCUAAUUAAAGUCUUGGAUUUGCCAGCAGCAUCCCCUGAGACUAAACAAGUAUAAAUCUUAAGAAUUUUUAUGAUCUUUUACGCCCUGUUCAAGAAUUCAUCCGAAUUAACCAGUUAACUUGCCGAUUAAUCCUUACUCGUAGGGUCACCGAGUAGCCUAUAAACCGAUAAAUCGUCUGAUUAAUUGAUUAAAUGGCCAAUUAACUUACCGAUUAGCCAAUUAAUCCCCUACUCACCAGCCAACCGAGCAGCUACCAGUUAACGAUUUCCUCAACAAUGCUUUACGUGUUAAUAUUUUUCUAUUCCUUUUAGUUUGUUAUAUUUGAGUUAUACUUCCUUUCGUUUUUGUAGUACAAGGUUUAAAACAAUGCAACUAACCUCAAUGGAGAUGCAAAGUGAAGGCCAGAGUAGUUACACCAAUGAGUAGUUACGCCAACGAGAAAGAUUCCUAGAAAGGGAAGGUCGGAGUGAUUCAUCUAUGGAACGCCAUUAACGUCUACAGCAAUGAACUUAUUUGACUUGACAUGAUACUAGAUGAAGAGUUGCAGGUGCAUUCAGUUCGCGAAGUUCUGGACCUAGCUAGGCGUACAUGUGAUGGCUUGCUAGAGCAUCACGUAGUACAUAUAUGGUUUCCAUGCCAGAGUAUGCUGUUUCCAGUUAUUUCUCUGGAAGGCGCUCAGUUGAUUGGUGAGGCCAUAAAUGGCUGUCUAUGGUUGUCUCCAGUUGAAGACAGAGUUGGAGCAGAACUAUGGCAACCAUGCAUGUCGUGCUAAAUAGGGCCUAUGAGCUAUGCAUGUCACCAUGUCGCCAAUACGUUGCCUAAUGCAUGAGAGGCUCAUGUUAGACUUGGCAAUCUUCUCUCGAUCUUUUUUCUACCGGAUUUUUGUACUGCGGAAUUUGCAUUGCUUCUAAGUAAGGAUUAGCCUUCACCUCAGUCCAUGCAUUGUAACUUUCUAAAUAUUUUAAGG